rnacentral:rRNA from 1 species
AAAGAUCCCAUGUUGGCAAUGAUGAGUAGCGGGCAAGGGAGGGAGUCCAACCUCAUAGCCAAGGAGAUUCGUCCCAGAUUCAUACGGGAGGCAGCAGCUAAGAAUAGUCUGCAGUGGACGAAAGUAAGCCGGAGUGACGACGCGUGGAUGAAGAAGGCUGAAAGGAGGUAAAAUUCUUAUGUUGGGGAAGAAUAACCACGGGAGGGAAUGCCCGCGGGAAGACAUGAACCGACGAAUAAGCCCCGGCUAACUACGUGCCAGCAGCCGCGGUAACACGUAGGGGGCGAGCGUUGUUCGGAAUUACUGGGCGUAAAGGGCAUGUAGGCGGUCUUGUAAGCUUGGCGUGAAAGACCACGGCUCAACCGUGGGAUUGCGUUGAGAACUGCGAGGCUUGAGUGACGGAGAGGGAGCUAGAAUUCCUGGUGUAGGGGUGGAAUCUGUAGAGAUCAGGAAGAAUACCAAUGGCGAAGGCAAGCUCCUGGCCGAUGACUGACGCUGAGGUGCGAAAGUGUGGGGAUCAAACAGGAUUAGAUACCCUGGUAGUCCACACUGUAAACGAUGUGCACUAGGUGCUGGUACGGAUGUAUCAGUGCCGUAGCUAACGUGAUAAGUGCACCGCCUUGGGAGUAUGCUCGCAAGGGUGAAACUCAAAGGAAUUGACGG